rnacentral:rRNA from 1 species
GACGAACGCUGGCGGCGUGCUUAACACAUGCAAGUCGAACGAGAAUCUACUGAAGAGGAUUCGUCCAACGGAAGUAGAGGAAAGUGGCGGACGGGUGAGUAACGCGUGAGGAACCUGCCUUGAAGAGGGGGACAACAGUUGGAAACGACUGCUAAUACCGCAUGAAGCAUAGGGGUCGCAUGAUUCUUAUGCCAAAGAUUUAUCGCUUCAAGAUGGCCUCGCGUCUGAUUAGCUAGUUGGCGGGGUAACGGCCCACCAAGGCGACGAUCAGUAGCCGGACUGAGAGGUUGAACGGCCACAUUGGGACUGAGAUACGGCCCAGACUCCUACGGGAGGCAGCAGUGGGGAAUAUUGGGCAAUGGGCGCAAGCCUGACCCAGCAACGCCGCGUGAAGGAAGAAGGCUUUCGGGUUGUAAACUUCUUUUAAGAGGGAAGAGCAGAAGACGGUACCUCUAGAAUAAGCCACGGCUAACUACGUG